CCUACGGGUGGCAGCAGUGAGGAAUAUUGGUCAAUGGGCGGAAGCCUGAACCAGCCAAGUAGCGUGCGGGAUGAAGGCCCUACGGGUCGUAAACCGCUUUUGCACGGGGAUAACACCCUCCACUUGUGGAGGUCUGCAGGUACCGUGCGAAUAAGGGUCGGCUAAUGCCGUGCCAGCAGCCGCGGUAAUACGGAAGGCCCGAGCGUUAUCCGGAUUCAUUGGGCUUAAAGGGAGCGUAGGCGGGCGUUAAAGUCAGCUGUAAAAUCGCGCGGCUCAAACGCGCCCGGAAGUUGAAACUGGAAGCCUUGAGUUCACAACAGGCAGGCGGAAUUCGUGGUGUAGCGGUGAAAUGCAUAGAUAUCACGAAGAACCCCGAUUGCGAAGGCAGCCUGCCCGGGUGCGACUGACGCUGAGGCUCGAAGGUGCGGGUAUCAAACAGGAUUAGAUACCCCAGUAGUC
rnacentral:rRNA from 1 species